CCAUAUAAAGCGAAGCCCACACCACAACCAUCCUCAUUACAAACAUUCAUUAUCAUAGCAAAGAAAGAAAACCCUAGCGUGCCGUUUCAACUUUCAAGGAUGAAUUUUUCACUGUUUCAUUAAGGUAAUACAAUUUGUGAUUGUGGUUCAGAUAUUAUAUGAUAAUAUAAAGUGAUCAAGUUGCUAUUUAUGAUAGGCCAAAAGAGAACGUGUUGAUGAUGUAAGGUUUAAUGGUAAGAUAAGUAUAAAUGAAAUAAAAUUUGAAGUUGGGUGAUGAAAAUGCGAUAUUGACUCUCUCAUCAAUUUAUAGUAUAAACUGCUUUGAGAUUUCAAAGCAUGUUUACACUUUUUCUCAUUGCAAGGUCUUGGGCAUGUGAUUAAUUUUAUAUAUAAAAACAUCAUAUUACUAUAGACUUUCCAUAGUUGCAUCAAAUCACAUUGAGAGCAAAUAAAAUGAAUUCAGAGUCAAUUUGUGCGUACAUUUAUAUCAACGGUGAGGUCAUCUCCGAUUCAAGUGCAAGUGCAAUUUUCAAAGGUGACAAGACAAAAUCAAUACUGUUGAAUCCAACAAUGAAGUUGCGAGACAUAAUCACCGCAAUACAAUCAUCAAUUAGAGAUGAUGAUGUUACAUCUAUUAUUACUGCACUUUGGUAUCGUUGUCCUGUAUACAUAUUCAAUGGUUGUGUUCAGUAUAGGGCAGUUCCAAUCAUUGAUGAAGAAGGUGUUUGGUGCAUGUUUCAUACAUUUACAAAUAUGACAAGUGUAAUAUGUAUGGAACUUAAAGUUGAUGUUCAUAAUUCAUCAUCAUCUUCUCAAGUUAAUGACCUAAACUGGCCAGAGAUGGAGCAAAAGCUGGAGAAUUCCUUGAAAUUAGAAUGAAUAAUGUAACAUAUUUUGUUGUAGUAUUUUUUAAUUAUUUGUUAGUCUUUAUUAUGUAUUUGGCAUUGUUUCAUGUUUUUUCGUUGUUAUUUAAUUUACUUUAAUAA